rnacentral:rRNA from 1 species
AGUGAACGCUGGCGGUAGGCCUAACACAUGCAAGUCGAACGGCAGCACAGUAAGAGCUUGCUCUUACGGGUGGCGAGUGGCGGACGGGUGAGGAAUACAUCGGAAUCUACUUUUUCGUGGGGGAUAACGUAGGGAAACUUACGCUAAUACCGCAUACGACCUACGGGUGAAAGCAGGGGAUCUUCGGACCUUGCGCGAUUGAAUGAGCCGAUGUCGGAUUAGCUAGUUGGCGGGGUAAAGGCCCACCAAGGCGACGAUCCGUAGCUGGUCUGAGAGGAUGAUCAGCCACACUGGAACUGAGACACGGUCCAGACUCCUACGGGAGGCAGCAGUGGGGAAUAUUGGACAAUGGGCGCAAGCCUGAUCCAGCCAUACCGCGUGGGUGAUGAAGGCCUUCGGGUUGUAAAGCCCUUUUGUUGGGAAAGAAAAGCAGCAGGUUAAUACCCCGCUGUUCUGACAGUACCCAAAGAAUAAGCACCGGCUAACUUCGUG